rnacentral:lncRNA from 1 species
GGAUCUGACAUAAGAACGUUCAAGUCUGACUUCCAGCAUAACAAGUCAUUGAACCAGGAAGAGGAUCAACCAAUUGUAUUUAACAAAACAAUAAUUAUGAGUAAAAAUUAUAUGUGGCGUGCAUUUUUUCAGGGUCCAAACCACACAAGAAUUACGGAGAGUAAAAACCAAGAGGGAGGGACACAAUGAAUGAUUAGUGAAC